rnacentral:lncRNA from 1 species
AGCAUUCAACAGGUGUAUCAUAUGUGCAACAUGUCCAACAAAAGAACAAUAAGUCUACAAUUAAAUCCAACCAGCUCUGAAAUUCUCCAACAAGAAAAGAAACCAACGUGUAGCUUCCAUAGAAAGGGAUCUUCGUUUUAGUAGCAUUUUGCUUCAACUAAUCAAAAGCACCAGCUCUGAAUGUAUCCGCACACACCAGAGCAGGCUUCCACCCUUUCUUCUGAUGAUAAAACACGUAUUUUGUACACGUCGUCGUUUUACCAGAUCCUAAAACACACAAAACACAAGCAUUCAAUCAUCAUUCCAUUUUAGGCAUUGAUUUUGGUUUUCAGGGAAGAGAGACUUUUAUUUUUCUCAUCCCCUCUCACUCUCACUCAAGCCCCUCGUCGAUGUCGAGGAAAUUAUCAACGGCGGGUAAGGCUUUCUCUUUCUCCACGAUUUUGUCUGUGAUGAGAAUUAGGGUUGGGUGUUGAUUUUGGUUUUCAGGGAAGAGAGAUAGGGCUUCGAGGACGAGGUGGCAUGAGGCGCAGUCGACGAAGACUAGCGCGGAUUUCACAUGACGGAGGAUGACGGAGACGGUGCGGGCGUAGAGGCGGGUGUUGAUGUUGUUGAGAAUUGCGCCGGCGAAGUGGAGCUCGUACAUGACGGGGACGUUCAGGGCCAGGACGAAGACAACACUGCCACGACGGAUGCCGAGGGAGGAGAAGGCGAAGGUCAGCUGAAGGCAUCAAUGGCACGUGAAGGUGGUGUCAUUGUAGGUCAACAUCCAAUUGAGGCUUUAGGGACUGACAUUGUAGAAUUUUAUAAAACAGGGGGACCCAAUUUGUGAAUUAAAUUAGUGGGGGACCAAAUGCGAAAUUAGACCUAAAGUGGGAGACCAAAAUGCAAUUUUGCCUAUUUUAAAUGACAAAUGACCUAUUUGGUUUUUUUUUUCAAUUUUAUCUUUUUGAAAGUUAAUUUUAGUUUUUUAUGUUUAAAAAAAUAUCAAAAUAGUUUUUUUGUCAAUCUAAAGUUAACGUUGUUAAUGAAAAAAGAUAUUGAUGCUCAAAAGCCGCCACAAGAUGUAAGUUUUUUAUUUCUUCAUCUUUUCACUUCUCUUGCUCUCAUCCUUUCCUUUCUUCUUCUUCGCUAACAACAAUGGCAUCUUCAUCACCGACGAAAGCAACA